GGUGGCAAGCGUUGUCCGGAAUUAUUGGGCGUAAAGGGCUCGCAGGCGGUUUCUUAAGUCUGAUGUGAAAGCCCCCGGCUCAACCGGGGAGGGUCAUUGGAAACUGGGAAACUUGAGUGCAGAAGAGGAGAGUGGAAUUCCACGUGUAGCGGUGAAAUGCGUAGAGAUGUGGAGGAACACCAGUGGCGAAGGCGACUCUCUGGUCUGUAACUGACGCUGAGGAGCGAAAGCGUGCGGAGCGAACAGGAUUAGAUACCCUGGUAGUCCACGCCGUAAACGAUGAGUGCUAAGUGUUAGGGGGUUUCCGCCCCUUAGUGCUGCAGCUAACGCAUUAAGCACUCCGCCUGGGGAGUACGGUCGCAAGACUGAAACUCAAAGGAAUUGACGGGGGCCCGCACAAGCGGUGGAGCAUGUGGUUUAAUUCGAAGCAACGCGAAGAACCUUACCAGGUCUUGACAUCCUCUGACAACCCUAGAGAUAGGGCUUUCCCUUCGGGGACAGAGUGACAGGUGGUGCAUGGUUGUCGUCAGCUCGUGUCGUGAGAUGUUGGGUUAAGUCCCGCAACGAGCGCAACCCUUGAUCUUAGUUGCCAGCAUUCAGUUGGGCACUCUAAGGUGACUGCCGGUGACAAACCGGAGGAAGGUGGGGAUGACGUCAAAUCAUCAUGCCCCUUAUGACCUGGGCUACACACGUGCUACAAUGGACAGAACAAAGGGCUGCGAGACCGCAAGGUUUAGCCAAUCCCACAAAUCUGUUCUCAGUUCGGAUCGCAGUCUGCAACUCGACUGCGUGAAGCUGGAAUCGCUAGUAAUCGCGGAUCAGCAU
rnacentral:rRNA from 1 species